rnacentral:sRNA from 1 species
ACACGCCAGGGAGAAGAUGUCACGGCCCAUGGAAAAGAAGUGGCAAAAAAGAAGAGGCAUCCAGCAAGGGCAAGUUUUGUUGGCUUUUAGGAAGCACAUUACGGGUGGCAUAUAUAUCAUCUUUUCUUGCUGCAGAGAGCCGCCAUAGUAGCUGAGAGGAGGGCACACAAAUGCAUUCUACAUUUUGCUCAUGGAAGAAGACGUAACUUGAUUUUCAAUCGCAAGAAGCUCACUCCCAUUCUCAGUUUGCUGGUCAUUUAGAAGCUCAUUUCUUUUAUUUGCUUAAGCGGUGCACACGGUUUGGGUUUUAUUAGAUCACGCUUGCACCUAGAAGGAUUUAUAUACUCCACAUUUUGCUGACGCGUUGCAUCUCAAGGCAGUAGAUACAUUUCCUUAUUCACCUAUAGCAUUCAAGUGGUUACACAAGCUGAAUUUAAAUUUCAUUUUGGGAUUUAUUGUGUUGCAAAUUGAUAAGGGAGCUCAUUCACUUGGAAAGGGGUGCUACGACCUAGGAAUGGAAUUCGGAUUUUAUUGCAGCAGCAGGGGAAUCUACUUUUCUUUUCUUUCUUUAGAGGUUAGAACGGUGAUUCAACAUUGGGAGCAUUUUUAUUUCUUUCUUUUAAUACGUUCGGCAUAAGGGCUAAUGAGGUGAUUGAUUUUGGAGGCACAUGGUGCAUUGGAGUGACGGUUUUAGUUUUCUUUACUUCUUCAAGCAUUUAAUGUUAAAUUUCUUUAAGCAUUCAUUUCAAUUGCCCGCCAUUCUCAGUUUGCAUUUAAUUGUUUAGCUCAAUGUUGCACUUUUAAUAAUUUGGUUAAAG